UUGUCCCUGCUGUAUUCGUGACUUGGCUUUACAUCUCUUACCUAUGCUUAUGGCAUCGGUCGCCGGAUUACAGAGUUGGUGUGAUCGUCUCUUGUCAGAUGAACCCGACGCUCUGUUGAAGGUAACCAACUUUGAACUGAAGGGUUCGAGGUGCCAGCCUAGACGAUACAAGCGGGGCCAUU
rfam:Advenella mimigardefordensis DPN7, complete genome.